UUUUUGAUGUUUCUCUCUCGGCU
rnacentral:miRNA from 1 species